rnacentral:lncRNA from 1 species
CAUAAAGGAAAACCAUGAGUUUAACAAAUGGGGUAGACUAGAGGAUAUCUUAUCAAUACACCAGGGAUUCAGUCUAGGUUCUGAUGCUCACUUCACCAUCAUUGAGAUGAAGAAUAUUGCCAGAUGUGGAACCUGCAGAUGCAGGGGACUGACUUAAGAAACGAGGAUCCACAGACACUGACAUCCAUGGACCUAACAAAUGAGGCCCUUUUAGAAGAAGGGUGAAGGAAG